GUGACCUUCACACUCACCACUUUGAUUCCAACAGCGAAGUCGAAGUCGUGGUCAGGAGUAAGACUGAGCUGGGUAGAGAUAGUAAGCCAACAUGAUGUGUCUUCUAGGGGCAUGAGAGAUGGAGAAAGAAAGCCUCAGCUACCAUGAGACUUUGUUCAGUGCUAUGAUCUGAAUGUGUUUCUGCCAAAUUCCUAUGCUGAAAUCCUAACUCCCAAGAAGAUGGUACUACAAGAUGAUUGGAAGGUGAUUAGGUCAUGAAGGCUCUGCCCUUAUGGGAUUAGUGCCCUCAUAAAAGGGGCACCAGAGAGCUAACUGCCUUACCCUUUCUCCAUGUGAGGACGGAAUGAGAGGGCGCCCUCAUCCAAACACUGAAUCUGCUGGUGCCUUGAUUUUGGACUCUACAGCCUUCAGAACUGUGAUAAAUAAAUUUCUGUUUUUUAUAAAUGACUCCAUCUAUAGUAUUUUGUUAUAGCAGCUUGAAAGGACAAAGACGUUCAGUUUAAAUCAUGAAUACAGACCCAUUUGUACCAAAAAUUAACACAGCAACAAACCUUUACUGAACACCUAUGAUGGGCCAGCUUUUGGGGACAUAGCAGUUAAUAAAAUAGAAAACCCCCCAACCCCUAUGGAGCUUACAUUCUACCAGGCAGAUUCAGUGUAUUAAUCUCUAAUGUGCCAGUUCACUAUCUCCUUCCAUCUGAGUCUUAAAAGUAUUUUUUUUUUCUUUGAGACUGAGUCUCCCUCUAUUGCCCAGGCUAGAGUGCAGUGGUGCAAUCUCAGCUCACUGCAACCUCUCCGCCUCUCAGGUUCAAGCAAUUCUCAUGCCUCAGCCUCCCGAGUAGCUGGGAUUACAAGCACCCGCCACCAUGCCCAGCUAAUUUUUGUAUUUUUAGCACAGACGGGGUUUCACCAUGUUGGCCAGGCUGGUUUCAAACUCCUGACCUCCAGUGAUCCGCUUACCUCAGCCUCCCAAAGUGCUGAGAUUACAGGCAUGAGCCACUGUGCCCAGCCUUAAAGUACUUUUUUGGAUGUUGACUUUUCUUUCUUAGGUGAUAUAAUGUAGUAGUAGUAAUCUCAAUUUGUGGGUGGAAAUAAAACACUUAGAUCAUUCUGGUUUAUGCAGAAUCUCAAAUUUACCCACAGCCAACCUGCCUCCUCUUUUGGAAAACAGGAGAAAAAAAUCCGAGAAAGGGAACGCUGAUUGAAAUAAACAAAGAGGGCCGGGCGCGGUGGCUCACGCCUGUAAUCCCAGCACUU
rnacentral:lncRNA from 1 species